GGGCAGAUCGGCCCUCCAUCAUGCGCAGAGGCAGGAAGGGGAGUGGCCGAGGAAGGCUGGUCAGGGCGUGGAUCUUGAUUCCAGGAGGCAUCAAUGUUCCUUGUUUAGUAAAUAAGUCGGUUCAUCUUUAUUCACGGAGUGUCUCCGUUUGCCUGGCCCUGGAGAUGGAAAGCUGAAUGAGGACAGCUGAGUUCCAGCUCCUGUGGAGAAGGCAGGAGACAGACAGAGUUAACUUGUGUGCCAGUAACCUCAGAGGGUGCUGGGAAGGAAACAGACAAGCAAGAUGAUGGACCCGGGUCAUUCCUGAGGAUAGGUGACAAUUGUCUGGAGGUUGUAUGGUGAGCAGUUACCCCAGGAAAAGACCCAGGGACCUGGACAUCAACACAGGAACCAGCUAGAGCCCCAGAGUAAGAACAAACUGAAGACUUUGAGAUCUGACGGAAGCCAGGGAGCGUGGACUUUAAUAAGGUCUGGAGACAUGCUGAUCUUUCAGAGUUUAUAGGCCUUAUUCACGCCGCAGCUCUCUGUGAUGCCGGGCUUCCUCUAUGGAACAGAGCCAUCUAGUGAAACCCUCAACUUCCAACGCCUAGGUUAUUUGUAUCUUUUCUAUUAAAAGGCUGAGUUUAAAUC
ensembl:lincRNA 1700025J12Rik RIKEN cDNA 1700025J12 gene